rnacentral:rRNA from 1 species
GACGGGGGGGGCAAGUGUUCUUCGGAAUGACUGGGCGUAAAGGGCACGUAGGCGGUGAAUCGGGUUGAAAGUGAAAGUCGCCAAAAAGUGGCGGAAUGCUCUCGAAACCAAUUCACUUGAGUGGGACAGAGGAGAGUAGAAUUUCGUGUGUAGGGGUGAAAUACCGUCAAAUAAUACGAAGGAACGCCAAAAGCGAAGGCAGCUCUCUGGGGUCCCUACCGAGGCUGGGGUGCGAAAGCAUGGGGAGCGAACAGG